rnacentral:rRNA from 1 species
AGAGUUUGAUCAUGGCUCAGGAUGAACGCUGGCGGCGUGCCUAACACAUGCAAGUCGAGCGAGAUACUGUUGAACAGAGAUUCGUCAACGGGAUACAGUGGAAAGCGGCGGACGGGUGAGUAACGCGUAGGCAACCUGCCCCUUACACAGGGAUAGCCAUUGGAAACGAUGAUUAAAACCUGAUGACACCUGAGGAUGACAUCUUCCUGAGGUCAAAGAUUUAUCGGUAAGGGAUGGGCCUGCGUCUGAUUAGAUAGUUGGUGAGGUAACGGCCCACCAAGUCAACGAUCAGUAGCCGACCUGAGAGGGUGAUCGGCCACAUUGGAACUGAGACACGGUCCAAACUCCUACGGGAGGCAGCAGUGGGGAAUAUUGCACAAUGGGGGAAACCCUGAUGCAGCAACGCCGCGUGAAGGAAGAAGGUCUUCGGAUCGUAAACUUCUGUCCUAGAGGAAGAUAAUGACGGUACUCUUGGAGGAAGCCCCGGCUAACUACGUACCAGCAGCCGCGGUAAUACGUAGGGGGCAAGCGUUAUCCGGAAUUAUUGGGCGUAAAGAGUGCGUAGGUGGUUACCUAAGCAGGGGGUGAAAGGCACUGGCUUAACCAAUGUCAGCCCCCUGAACUGGGCUACUUGAGUGCAGGAGAGGAAAGUGGAAUUCCUAGUGUAGCGGUGAAAUGCGUAGAUAUUAGGAGGAACACCAGUGGCGAAGGCGACUUUCUGGACUGUUACUGACACUGAGGCACGAAAGUGUGGGGAGCAAACAGGAUUAGAUACCCUGGUAGUCCACACCGUAAACGAUGAGCACUAGGUGUCGGGGGAGCAAUCCUUCGGUGCCGCAGUUAACGCAUUAAGUGCUCCGCCUGGGGAGUACGUAC